rnacentral:rRNA from 1 species
UACGGCCGCAAGGUUGAAACUCAAAGGAAUUGACGGGGACCCGCACAAGCGGUGGAUGAUGUGGUUUAAUUCGAUGCAACGCGAAAAACCUUACCUACCCUUGACAUGCUAGGAAUUCUGCAGAGAUGUGGAAGUGCUCGAAAGAGAACCUAGACACAGGUGCUGCAUGGCCGUCGUCAGCUCGUGUCGUGAGAUGUUGGGUUAAGUCCCGCAACGAGCGCAACCCUUGUCAUUAGUUGCUACGAAAGGGCACUCUAAUGAGACUGCCGGUGACAAACCGGAGGAAGGCGGGGACGACGA